rnacentral:rRNA from 1 species
CGGUAACAGGGGAGCUUGCUCCCGCUGACGAGUGGCGAACGGGUGAGUAAUGCAUCGGAACGUGCCGAAUAGUGGGGGAUAACGCACCGAAAGGUGUGCUAAUACCGCAUACGCCCUGAGGGGGAAAGUGGGGGACCGCAAGGCCUCACGCUAAUCGAGCGGCCGAUGUCGGAUUAGCUAGUUGGUGGGGUAAAGGCUCACCAAGGCGACGAUCCGUAGCGGGUCUGAGAGGAUGAUCCGCCACACUGGGACUGAGACACGGCCCAGACUCCUACGGGAGGCAGCAGUGGGGAAUUUUGGACAAUGGGGGAAACCCUGAUCCAGCCAUGCCGCGUGUCUGAAGAAGGCCUUCGGGUUGUAAAGGACUUUUGUCCGGGAGGAAACCCUGAUCGUUAAUAGCGGUCGGGACUGACAGUACCGGAAGAAUAAGCACCGGCUAACUACGUGCCAGCAGCCGCGGUAAUACGUAGGGUGCAAGCGUUAAUCGGAAUUACUGGGCGUAAAGCGUGCGCAGGCGGUGAGAUAAGUCAGCUGUGAAAGCCCCGGGCUCAACCUGGGAACUGCGGCCGAAACUGUCUCGCUAGAGUACGUCAGAGGGGGGUGGAAUUCCACGUGUAGCAGUGAAAUGCGUAGAGAUGUGGAGGAACACCAAUGGCGAAGGCAGCCCCCUGGGAUGAUACUGACGCUCAUGCACGAA